GGGCGGUUAGUGUUAGCGGGAGCACGCCAGACUUGCACUCUGGUAGGGUAGGGUUCGAAUCCCUCACUGUCCA
rnacentral:tRNA from 1 species